UAGGGAAUCUUCCGCAAUGGGCGAAAGCCUGACGGAGCAACGCCGCGUGAGUGAUGAAGGUCUUCGGAUCGUAAAACUCUGUUACUAGGGAAGAACAAAUGUGUAAGUAACUAUGCACGUCUUGACGGUACCUAAUCAGAAAGCCACGGCUAACUACGUGCCAGCAGCCGCGGUAAUACGUAGGUGGCAAGCGUUAUCCGGAAUUAUUGGGCGUAAAGCGCGCGUAGGCGGUUUUUUCAGUCUGAUGUGAACGCCCACGGCUCAACCGUGGAGGGUCCUUGGAAACUGGAAAACUUGAGUGCAGAAGAGGAAAGUGGAAUUCCAUGUGUAGCGGUGAAAUGCGCAGAGAUAUGGAGCAACACCAGUGGCGAAGGCGACUUUCUGGUCUGUAACUGACGCUGAUGUGCGAAAGCGUGGGGAUCAAACAGG
rnacentral:rRNA from 1 species